ensembl:lncRNA
ACAACUAAGUGACUUUGGUAUUAUUUGAACCCAGGUUCUCUGACUCAAAACUCUUGAGUAUAUAGCAGCCUGCUGCCUGUUCACUUACCAUCUGUGGGUGUGCUGUGCAUCCCAAAGGCGAGAUUUUUGUUCUCCAGGAUCUGGAGGGCAUGGCGGAGGCAUCCGAAAUCAGAGUGUAGCGCAUCCUCAGGCUGCCGAGAUGAGGGCGAGCCAUGCAGUACAGGGAAAGAUUGCUGCUGACUCCGGUGGUCCAGGGGGAGCCGGUCCGGAACCCUCGUCUACUCCUGGACCCAACCGGCACCGCACCCCCACCCCCGCUUUCCCAGCUGCUUUGCAGCGCUCCCAGGACGCCUCCAGGUGGCGCGCUGCUGUCCCGUCCUUCCAACCCAGCCUCAGUCACUGCUCCAGAGAUGGGGAGGGCCAGCUUCUCUGGAGAUGGAACCUGGAGCGGUCAAAAUAAUCCUGGGCAUAGGGGUGGAGGCGGGGAGGAGAGUGUGGCUCGGGGCGCCUCCCGGGAUGCCUGGUGCUGCCAGAGCUGGAGGAGCUGGGGCGGGCCGCGCCGGGAUCGGGGAUUCCUUGGGAGUGUUCAAAGCUGCGUGGAUCUGGUCCAGUCCCUCGAUCGCGUAGGAGCAGAAAGGAGGAAGGAUCUCAUGGAUGGAGCGGAGCCGGUUUUUAGAUCAUUCUAUCAGAAGAAGAAGAAGAAGAAGAAGAAGAGGAGGACGAGGAGGAAGAGGAGGAGGAGGAGGAGGAGGAGGAGGAGGAGGAGGAAAAGAAAGAGAAGGAUGAGAAGAAGAAACAGAGGGAAGAGGAGAAGGAAAGGAAGAAAGUGGAGGAAGAGGAAGAGGAAGAAGAGGAAGUAAAUUGAAACUUUUUAAAAAAUGGACCUUAAGCUCCUCUCUGAAAAAAAAAAAAAAGCUCACUUUUAACAAACGUAUUCUUCUGGUACUGUUGUAUAACUUGAAUUGAUAGUACAGGAUAGUUCACAAAGAACUGAAAGUUAAAAAUACAAGGAGAUUAAAAAGUAUUAAGUAUUUACUAGGUUCCAUAUACUAUGUACCACACUCAUGAUACAAAUAAAAGAAAGGAAGACAGUUUCUGCUUUCAAGUAGCCUGUAUUUUAAUAGGGAAAACAGCAUUUAUAAGGCAAUGUGGCUAGUGUAGACUUUUUCUGAUAGGGAAUUCAGGAGGAAUGAUAAUUAAAAUUAUGGGGAAAUUGAUUUUCACGUCAUUUCAAGGAGUUGUCAUGUUGACCUGAUUACUAUUAUGGGAGCCAGAGUUGGAAGGGGGCAGGAAAAAUAUGAAAAAUCAGAACUACUUGAAUCACUUGAUCCAUCAUGCUAGGACUAAUAUGUGGAUAUAAAGAUGGAGAGUGAUAGUAAUUGUAAAUAGUAACCAACCUGUCCUUCAAGAUUUCUAGCAAAAUUAGGAAGCAAGUACAAUGGCAUGAAUAUGAUAUUUGUAGAUGGUACAAAACUGUGAGAUUUACUAACACAUUGUUUAAUAGCUUUCCAACAAAUCUGAAGAAAAAAUAACACUCUAGUCUUACAAAAAAUGAAAGAUGUAAUAUAAUAGACAUGAAUAUAAAAAUUUUUGGAAUUGAUUUGAAAAAUCAGUCACAGAAAUUCAACAGAAGUUUGUUAAGAUAAUAUAAAGAAAAGAUAAUUGUGGCAUAAAAUUAGCUUUAAAAAAAGAAUUAAAGUUCUUAUUAUGGACAACAAUUUGGAAUUAAAUUCAAUGUGGAACAUAGUCCCUCCCCUCAUGGAGCUUAUGUUCCAACAUAUAGGAUGCAGAAGAUAUGGCUAGAUAACUGUACUUAUGAAAAAGAUAUGAGUGAUUGAAGGGAAUACCCAUUCUAUAU